rnacentral:lncRNA from 1 species
UGUGCACCACCCUCUCACCCAAACGAAGGCAGCUGGCCCUGAAGUUCUCUGAGCUUGAGGACAAAAAAAGACCUCUGUGAGUUGUCAGGCUCUGUUACAGUCUGGGUCAGCAGACAAGAGUCCCAGGGCUCGGCCGUCUUCUCUAGGAGAGAAAAUAUUCGUGCCAUAUAGCGUGUUCUAAGAGUUCUCACCAGAAGCCCAGAAAGUUCUGUAUUUACUCAGCAUUCAAGGGAAAACAGACCCUGUAUUUUUGGGAUUCCUGAAAGGUGACCAGAGGAAUAUCCACAGAAGCAGAAGUAGGAAUGGGGAAGGAGGGGACAAGUUUAGACCAAGCUCUUCUGUGACCUCACUUCUGCUUUUGAAGUCCCACAGCUCUAUAAGGCUACCUUCAUCCCCAAACAGGAACUGCUGCAAGGCCCGCAGCAGCCAUGGGUGAGUGGCUCUGGAGAUGGGGUAAGUGGCCUACGCACCCCAGAGGAACAGCUGGCAGCCUAGUCUUCGGGCAGCAGCUCCACUCAGCCCUGGGGAAUGACAGAUACAGGUGUGUUCCCUCAGGUGCAUAUGUGCAUGUGCUUGUGUGCAACUUCCUCCUCUGCUCUCAUUCCUGCAAGGUGCAUUCUCAGAAGGCUGUUACUCCACAGUCACUACGGUUGUGAAGCGGAACCAGACAACUUCCCAUUUUCGAGGUUCUACAAUUGGCAAUAUGGGAAAAUCUUACCCCAUUACCACCCAACUCGAUUCUUUCAAUGCAAGCUUGUCUAACCCAUAGCCUGCAGGCCACAUGUGACCCAGGAUGACUUUGGAUGUGGCCCAGUGCAAAUUCGUAAACUUUCUUAAAAUAUUAUAAGAUUGUUUUGCAAUACAUCAGUAUCGUUAGCGUUAGUGUAUUUUAUAUGUGGCCCAAGACAAUUCUUCUUCUGAUGUGGCCGAGGGAAGCCAAAAGAUUGGAUACUCCUGCGUAAGGGGGAAAUGCAUGUUUAUAGUCAUAUAUAUAUAUUUUUUUUUUCUAAUUUUUUUUUUGCACCCAGUGCAGUGGCACAAUCAUA